rnacentral:piRNA from 1 species
UUGGAACAGAGAAACAAUGGAUUU